AUACUUACCUGGACGGGGUCAAUGGGCGAUCAACAAGAUCUAUGGCCUAGGCUGGUGACCUCCAUUGCACUUUGAAGGGGUGCCCGCCUAAGGUCGGCCCAAGUGGUAGAGCCUACGUCAUAAUUUAUGGCAGCGGGGCCUGAGUUCGCGCGGCCCCUAC
rnacentral:snRNA from 1 species